rnacentral:rRNA from 1 species
GAGUUUGAUCAUGGCUCAGAUUGAACGCUGGCGGCAGGCCUAACACAUGCAAGUCGAACGGUAACAGGAAACAGCUUGCUGUUUCGCUGACGAGUGGCGGACGGGUGAGUAAUGUCUGGGAAACUGCCUGAUGGAGGGGGAUAACUACUGGAAACGGUAGCUAAUACCGCAUAACGUCGCAAGACCAAAGAGGGGGACCCUCGGGCCUCUUGCCAUCGGAUGUGCCCAGAUGGGAUUAGCUUGUUGGUGGGGUAACGGCUCACCAAGGCGACGAUCCCUAGCUGGUCUGAGAGGAUGACCAGCCACACUGGAACUGAGACACGGUCCAGACUCCUACGGGAGGCAGCAGUGGGGAAUAUUGCACAAUGGGCGCAAGCCUGAUGCAGCCAUGCCGCGUGUAUGAAGAAGGCCUUCGGGUUGUAAAGUACUUUCAGCGGGGAGGAAGGGAGUAAAGUUAAUACCUUUGCUCAUUGACGUUACCCGCAGAAGAAGCACCGGCUAACUCCGUGCCAGCAGCCGCGGUAAUACGGAGGGUGCAAGCGUUAAUCGGAAUUACCGGGCGUAAAGCGCACGCAGGCGGUUUGUUAAGUCAGAUGUGAAAUCCCCGGGCUCAACCUGGGAACUGCAUCUGAUACUGGCAAGCUUGAGUCUCGUAGAGGGGGGUAGAAUUCCAGGUGUAGCGGUGAAAUGCGUAGAGAUCUGGAGGAAUACCGGUGGCGAAGGCGGCCCCCUGGACGAAGACUGACGCUCAGGUGCGAAAGCGUGGGGAGCAAACAGGAUUAGAUACCCUGGUAGUCCACGCCGUAAACGAUGUCGACUUGGAGGUUGUGCCCUUGAGGCGUGGCUUCCGGAGCUAACGCGUUAAGUCGACCGCCUGGGGAGUACGGCCGCAAGGUUAAAACUCAAAUGAAUUGACGGGGGCCCGCACAAGCGGUGGAGCAUGUGGUUUAAUUCGAUGCAACGCGAAGAACCUUACCUGGUCUUGACAUCCACGGAAGUUUUCAGAGAUGAGAAUGUGCCUUCGGGAACCGUGAGACAGGUGCUGCAUGGCUGUCGUCAGCUCGUGUUGUGAAAUGUUGGGUUAAGUCCCGCAACGAGCGCAACCCUUAUCCUUUGUUGCCAGCGGUCCGGCCGGGAACUCAAAGGAGACUGCCAGUGAUAAACUGGAGGAAGGUGGGGAUGACGUCAAGUCAUCAUGGCCCUUACGACCAGGGCUACACACGUGCUACAAUGGCGCAUACAAAGAGAAGCGACCUCGCGAGAGCAAGCGGACCUCAUAAAGUGCGUCGUAGUCCGGAUUGGAGUCUGCAACUCGACUCCAUGAAGUCGGAAUCGCUAGUAAUCGUGGAUCAGAAUGCCACGGUGAAUACGU